CCUACGGGAGGCAGCAGUGGGGAAUAUUGGGCAAUGGGCGCAAGCCUGACCCAGCAACGCCGCGUGAAGGAAGAAGGCUUUCGGGAUGUAAACUUCUUUUGUCAGGGACGAAGCAAGUGACGGUACCUGACGAAUAAGCCACGGCUAACUACGUGCCAGCAGCCGCGGUAAUACGUAGGUGGCAAGUGUUAUCCGGAUUUAUUGGGUGUACAGGGCGUGUAGGCGGGAAUGCAAGUGAGAUGUGAAAACUAUGGGCUCAACCCAUGGCCUGCAUUUGAAACUGUAUAUCUUGAGUGCUGGAGAGGCAAGCGGAAUGCGGGGUGUAGCGGUGAAAUGCGUAGAUAUACGGAGGAACACCGGUGGCGAAGGCGGAUUGCUGGACAGUAACUGACGCUGAGGCGCGAAAGCGUGGGGAGCAAACAGGAUUAGAUACCCGGGUAGUC
rnacentral:rRNA from 1 species